rnacentral:rRNA from 1 species
AUUGAACGCCGGCGGCAUGCCUUACACAUGCAAGUCGAACGGCAGCACGGGAGCAAUCCUGGUGGCGAGUGGCGAACGGGUGAGUAAUAUAUCGGGACGUGCUCAGUAGUGGGGGAUAACUGCUCGAAAGAGCAGCUAAUACCGCAUACGACCUGAGGGUGAAAGGGGGGGAUGUCAAGACCUCUCGCCAUUGGAGUGGCCGAUAUCAGAUUAGCCAGUUGGUGGGGUAAAGGCCUACCAAGGCAACGAACUGUAGUUGGUCUGAGAGGACGACCAGCCACACUGGGACUGAGACACGGCCCAGACUCCUACGGGAGGCAGCAGUGGGGAAUUUUGGACAAUGGGCGCAAGCCUGAUCCAGCAAUGCCGCGUGCAGGAAGAAGGCCUUCGGGUUGUAAACUGCUUUUGUCAGGGAAGAAAUCCUCUAGGUUAAUACCCUUGGGGGGAUGACGGUACCUGAAGAAUAAGCACCGGCUAACUACGUGCCAGCCGCCGCCGUAAGAC